rnacentral:rRNA from 1 species
CUCCUGUCACUGCAGAACAAGGGUACGCCAGUUAACAGCCGGCGUAUUUGAUGGUAUGCGGAGAGGAAGGGACGGCUAACUCUGUGC